rnacentral:lncRNA from 1 species
AGGCGGUAAGGGUUGGUGGAGAAGUGGACAACGGUGGCUGGUGUUUGUGAUGAUGGAGGUUGUGGUUGUGAGGACGGCGGUGCGGUGUGAAGGGUGAGAGUGGUGGUUUCGUGUGGUGAUGGAAAUGGUGGUGGUCAGAAGGGUUUGUGGUAGAGGUUUUGUGUGGAGGAUGAGAUGGAGCGGUGAGUGGUGUAGAUGGAGAGUCGCGGCGGAGAGGAAAAGCU